GGCAGCAUAGGUGCUUGCACCUGAUGGCGAGUGGCGAACGGGUGAGUAAUGCAUCGGAACGUGCCCAGUCGUGGGGGAUAACGCAGCGAAAGCUGUGCUAAUACCGCAUACGAUCUAUGGAUGAAAGCGGGGGACCUUCGGGCCUCGCGCGAUUGGAGCGGCCGAUGUUAGAUUAGGUAGUUGGUGGGGUAAAGGCUCACCAAGCCGACGAUCUAUAGCUGGUCUGAGAGGACGACCAGCCACACUGGAACUGAGACACGGUCCAGACUCCUACGGGAGGCAGCAGUGGGGAAUUUUGGACAAUGGGCGAAAGCCUGAUCCAGCAAUACCGCGUGCAGGAAGAAGGCCUUCGGGUUGUAAACUGCUUUUGUACGGAACGAAACGGCGUGCUCUAAUAAAGUGCGCUAAUGACGGUACCGUAAGAAUAAGCACCGGCUAACUACGUGCCAGCAGCCGCGGUAAUACGUAGGGUGCAAGCGUUAAUCGGAAUUACUGGGCGUAAAGCGUGCGCAGGCGGUUUUGUAAGACAGGCGUGAAAUCCCCGGGCUCAACCUGGGAAUUGCGCUUGUGACUGCAAGGCUAGAGUACGGUAGAGGGGGGUAGAAUUCCGCGUGUAGCAGUGAAAUGCGUAGAUAUGCGGAGGAACACCGAUGGCGAAGGCAGCCCCCUGGACCUGUACUGACGCUCAUGCACGAAAGCGUGGGGAGCAAACAGGAUUAGAUACCCUGGUAGUCCACGCCCUANACGAUGUCAACUGGUUGUUGGGAAUUUACUUUCUCAGUAACGAAGCUAACGCGUGAAGUUGACCGCCUGGGGAGUACGG
rnacentral:rRNA from 1 species